AUGCCUGAACACUCAGCAUCAUGGCCUUACUCCUCUGUCCAAAAGCCUACCCCUGGACUGAGGACCCCCAAAUGGGGGCGGUGGGGGUACCAAGGGGGGCUGCGUGGGCGACGUGCCCAACAGCAGCGGAGCUCGCGGGGCUCCGGCUCUCCACCCUCUGGUUGCUACGGAGACAGCCUCUCCGGGCAAUUGCGGUCAAAAGCAGGAUUUCCGUCGGGGCUGCCAGCAAUUCCCGGAUCCCAGGGGGAACGUGGACCGAGGCCGCCACUGGGGGCGGGAAGGGGGCACCCAGAGAGGCCCAUCCCUGCGGAGGGCGGGGACUUCCCCAGGAAGCCGGGACCCACGCCUCUAGCUCCUUGGAGGAGUCCCCUCGCCAUCCGGGACCCGCCCACCAGGAGGGGAAGGGAGGGUGCAGGUGGCGGCAGUUUGGGCAGCCUCCCCGCCCCACCGGGCUACAGGCUUCCCCUGCGACUUCUCCUCUUUUGGGAUAGGGGACUUCCUGGACCCUCGGAAUUGUUCUGCAUCUUCCAGAAAUGGUUCUCCUUGACCUCCUGCAGCGAACUCCCUCACCUGGUCCUCCCCCCCUUACCCUCUUCCAGAACCCUCAGCUUCUCCCCCAUCCUCCCUCUCACGGCGCCCUCAGCUUAUUCUCCUGCCCCUCUGGGGGGGGGUCCCCUUGGUCCCUCACCCCUGACUCAGCCCCCUUCCCAAUUUCUAUCAAUUCCCCUCGACAGGUUCCCUCCGCUUUCCCUACCAGACCUUUCUAGGGGGCCGGUCCCUUUACUCUGCUUCAUCGUAUUCCUCCGGCCCCCUCCCCAGGGAUUGUCAGUCCCCUUCUCCAGGUGUCCUCCGGGGGUCCUUUCCGGGGCGAGGUCCCUGCUCCUCCAGCUCCGCCCUCCGCCCCCCUGCAGUCCCCGCGGGGCGCCGCGCGGCGCGUCCGGCUGCACCUGCCGGCCGCCUACCUGGUCCCCGGGGGUGGGGGGGCGCCGCCGCCGACCGGCCCCAGGCGAGCGGGCCGGGCUCCCGGCAGCCGCGAGAGCCGACGUCGUGGGGGGCGGGGGGCCCCUGGGGCGCUGCUCGCCUCAGCCCGCCGCCUGCGCUGGGCCGGGAGGAGGAAGCCGCCUCGGACUUCUCUUAUUGAAGGGGGCGGCGGCGGCGGCGGGGAGAAUUCACAGUCACGCCCCAGCCCCAGGCCGGCUGCCCCAGGCGGGGAGGGGCCCUCGGGAUCGCAGGCCCGCCCGCUCCCACUGCCAGCCUCCCCCGGUGCCUCCCCCCUCGCAGCCCUGA
rnacentral:lncRNA from 1 species